UUUUCUUCUACUUCUUGCACA
rnacentral:miRNA from 1 species